rnacentral:rRNA from 1 species
AUUGAACGCUGGCGGCAGGCCUAACACAUGCAAGUCGAGCGGAUGAGAGGAGCUUGCUCCUUGAUUCAGCGGCGGACGGGUGAGUAAUGCCUAGGAAUCUGCCUGGUAGUGGGGGACAACGUUUCGAAAGGAACGCUAAUACCGCAUACGUCCUACGGGAGAAAGCAGGGGACCUUCGGGCCUUGCGCUAUCAGAUGAGCCUAGGUCGGAUUAGCUAGUAGGUGAGGUAAUGGCUCACCUAGGCGACGAUCCGUAACUGGUCUGGGAGGAUGAUCAGUAACACUGGAACUGAGACACGGUCCAGACUCCUACGGGAGGCAGCAGUGGGGAAUAUUGGACAAUGGGCGAAAGCCUAAUCCAGCCAUGCCGCGUGUGUGAAGAAGGUCUUCGGAUUGUAAAGCACUUUAAGUUGGGAGGAAGGGCAGUAAGUUAAUACCUUGCUGUUUUGACGUUACCGACAGAAUAAGCACCGGCUAACUCUGUGCCAGCCGCCGCAGUAACAC